GGCCUUUUGAAUUUAAUAUAAGGUCUGACCUGCCCAGUGAUAGUUUUAACGGCCGCGGUAUACUGACCGUGCAAAGGUAGCAUAAUCAUUAGUCUUUUAAUAGAGGGCUGGAAUGAAAGGUUUCACGAGGAACUGACUGUCUCAUUUUAUUUGUUUUAAAAUUUAAUUUUUUAGUUAAAAAGCUAAAAUUUUAUUGGUAGACGAGAAGACCCUAUAGAGCUUUACAUAUAUCUAAAUAAAUAUUUUUAUAUUAAUAUUUUUAUUUAUUUUUGUGUUUUGUUGGGGUGACAAAAAUAUAUAAUUAACUUUUUUAUUUAUUUUACAUUGAUUUAUGAAUAUUAGAUCCAAUAUUAUUGAUUAUUAGACUAAGUUACCUUAGGGAUAACAGCGUAAUCCUCCUCCAGAGUUCAUAUUUACAGGAUGGGCUUGCGACCUCGAUGUUGGAUUAAGAUAAUAAUUAGGUGUAGCCGCUUAAUUGAUAGGUCUGUUCGACCUUUAAAUUCUU
rnacentral:rRNA from 1 species